rnacentral:lncRNA from 1 species
AUGCGCAGACCCGGCGCUGCUCUCCGCCACGUGCUCCCCUCUCGCCACGUGCUCCGCGCACCCGGCCUUGCGCAUGCGCAGCAUCACUUCGCGCAUGCGCAGACUCCUCACUGCUCUCCGCCACGUGUUGAAUGGCCACGCUGUGGUUUUGGAGCUGAGGUCGCUGCAGGGCUGGGUGAGGAAAGCAGGCACCAGUUGUUGAAGGAGCAGCCGUGUUCGAUUGGAAGGGUGCAGCUUCUGUUCCUGCCCUCCUUAGAGCAGCCACCAGUCAGACUCUGGGUGUCAGCUGCACAUCCACCAGCAGAUGUGAAUUUGCAGGAGUUGAGGAAAAACAAAAGACUUUCUUCUGGAGCGCAGCUGAGUGUGAGGCAGCCUGAACUUCAUGCCAGUCUGGAAAAACCAGCCUCCAUCUGGUUGCUCUCUGAAGCCUGGCAGCGUGGUUUUGCUGUAAGAUCAGAUGGGAUUUCAGCAUCUUCAGAAGAGCAGGUGGCAACACACAGCAUCUUAAUGCUAUGGAGCAUCCACCAGCAUUGUGUGAGAGCUUGCAGAUUUAAGCUGUUCUGGUCUUAAUCGUACUGAAACUUGAGAGAGAAAGGGAUUUGCCAAGUGCCAACACUUUGCAAAGGUGCAAAUAAACGCUGGGUGUGUGUGCUACA